rnacentral:rRNA from 1 species
GACGAACGCUGGCGGCGUGCUUAACACAUGCAAGUCGAACGAAAAUACCAAGCUUGCUUGGUUGAUUAGUGGCGAACGGGUGAGUAACACGUGAGUAACCUGCCCCUUACUUUCCUGGAUAACUGCUCGAAAGGGUAGCUAAUACGGGAUAUUCUGACCAGCCUGCAUGGGUUGGUUUGGAAAGGUUGUUUUUCUGGUAAGGGAUGGGCUCGCGGCCUAUCAGCUUGUUGGUGGGGUGAUGGCCUACCAAGGCUUUGACGGGUAGCCGGCCUGAGAGGGUGGACGGUCACACUGGGACUGAGAUACGGCCCAGACUCCUACGGGAGGCAGCAGUGGGGAAUAUUGCACAAUGGGCGCAAGCCUGAUGCAGCGACGCCGCGUGAGGGAUGAAGGCCUUCGGGUUGUAAACCUCUUUCGUCAGGGAACAAGGCACUGCUUUUGUGGUGGUGUUGAGGGUACCUGGAGAAGAAGCGCCGGCUAACUACGUG